UGGUUCAGAACGAACGCUGGCGGCAAGCUUAACACAUGCAAGUCGAACGGACCGUAUACGCAGCUUGCUGCGUNUAUGGUUAGUGGCAGACGGGUGAGUAAUGCAUAGGAAUCUACCUAGUAGUAUGGGAUAGCCACUAGAAAUGGUGGGUAAUACUGUAUAAUCCCUGCGGGGGAAAGAUUUAUCGCUAUUAGAUGAGCCUAUGUCAGAUUAGCUAGUUGGUGGGGUAAUGGCCUACCAAGGCGGUGAUCUGUAGCUGGUUUGAGAGGAUGAUCANCCACACUGGAAAUGAGACACGGCCCAGACUCCUUCGGGAGGCAGCAGUGGGGAAUAGGGG
rnacentral:rRNA from 1 species